rfam:Canis lupus familiaris chromosome 11, whole genome shotgun sequence.
GCCUGAGUGGCUCAGCGGUUGAGUGUCUGCCUUCAGCCCAGGGCAUUAUCCUGGAGUCUUGGGAUCGAGUCCCACAUCAGGCU